GAGCGCCUCAUACACGACGAGUUUUGAUGGAUUCGUGUAGUGACAUCUCGAUCCCGAAGCCAAGUAUGUUUUGUUUCCCUCUGAGAUCUCACCCUGGAUCAACCAAUAGCUAGAGAUCUGAAUGAGAAUAGGUUCAUUUACCUUACUAAGGACUUCAAAUCAUACUCCCUCUGUUUUUAAAUAUAAGUCUUUUUAGAUAUUUCAAUACGGACUACAUACGGAUGGAGGGAGUAGUUCAGUAGAGGAAAAUACCACGUCACUUGUAAUGGAGUUUCACGUGUCAAACAUAUAUGUGUGCUGACUACAUGCCCCUGCAAGUGUGUUGAUUCUCAUGUCAGUUUAGUAAUUGUAGUUAUAUCCCAGGUUCAUUUACAUCGGCAGACUACAUGCAGUUGCUUGUUCAUAACCUAUGUUUAGGCGUUUGUUUGUUUUCCUCCAGCUGUACACUAAAUUAGUACUAUCCCUGAGUGAAGAUAACGUUUCCAGUAAGAGAAUUGACAAUACUGACAAUGACGUGAUAUUUCAUAGCGUUGUCAAUGUCAGGUAUGUCACAAAUUGCUCUCUUUUUACUUAGCCAAAUUAUUUUACUACCUGGGGUAUUAUGGAAUUUUGUUUCUAAAACAGAUUGUGUGGUGUUUUGUCCUGGAGUGUUUGCACUGAAAUGGCAAAGUAAUAUAGUAUUUCGGCGGCGUGGCUGCUUCGUCAUCGAAGAACCGUCCAACGCAAUUUUCCGCUGGCAUGUCCCAUUGAAUGUCAUUGCUUUUAUCAUGGCAUCCAACACUUGCAGAUGUGACUCAAAAGGGGGUUCUGAAGCUGAUGAACUUGGAUGGCCUGACAGUCUACCAUACCAACAACCAUCUCCAAGUACACAAACUUGAAAACUUUCUAAGAUUCGUACACACCUUCAGAUUUGCUUUCCAAGUAAAGAUCAGAAAGCCGACAACGUUUCUAUUGUGUUUUAGGAGAAAUUUGGAUCUUUUUGGACAGUUAUUGCAACCAUCUGUCUGAAUGAGUAUAAAAACAAUGCUAUGAGGACAAAGAGGAGAUAAAAGGAGUAUUGGAAAGCUUAAAACCAGCCACCCAGAACCACUCUGCCUGGAGAAAGAAGACAAUAUUUGGCAUGAUCUGUUUCAUCUACUACAGGUGACUCCGUUAGGACACCAGGAACAUGAUUGCAGUCCAGGAUACCAUACUGCAACCUCAAUCCAUCGAAUGUAAUUCAGUGAGAUAUAUAUGUUCUCAUUUACCAGACUUCAGUGUUCAAUUCAAUUAAAUCUGUUAGCUUACUGAUUGCUGCAUAACUACCAUUUCUCAAAUGUACGAUGUGGUUUCUGCUGUUGAUUUCAAAUUGGCGAGAUAUAGUUAAACUUAGGUUAUUGUCAUAUUAGCGGGGGAAAAUCUUGAUUCCUAAAUGCAGUAGGCUAACUGUCAAUAAAUCUUUUAUGUAUAAUACACUGCCUGGAAUGUAGCUCUAAAUACUUCUGUAAAAUCAGGACAUUCGUUAUUGGUUUUUCUAUUUUUUAGUUAAAACAGAUAUGAUGCAUGUGCAACUGUACAUGCCAAGUUCUGAAGCUCAUAUGUUCCGUACAUAGUUUUAGUUAUGAAGCAAAUAGCUCAAGAUAUUUCAGAUUGGAAGAACUUAGUUUGUGACGUGUGAUGUUUUCUAAUGGCAUUGAAUACUGUAUAAUUUAAGAUAUGAAUCAUUAAAAUUUGUUUUACUCAUACAAACCAGAAUGUGUCAUGAUAAUGUAAGCAUGCAACAUUGUACUGCCAUAUAAU